rnacentral:rRNA from 1 species
UACAGAGACUGCAAGCGUUGUUCGGAUUCAUUGGGCGUAAAGGGUCCGUAGGCGGUCGGUUAAGUCGGAUGUGAAAUCUCACAGCCUAACUGUGAGCGGUCAUUCGAAACUAAUCGGCUAGAGGGCUGGAGAGGAGACUGGAAUUGUCGGUGUAGCGGUGAAAUGCGUAGAUAUCGGGAGGAACACCUGUGGCGAAAGCGGCGCACUGGACCACAACUGACGCUGAGGCGCGAAAGCUAGGGGAGCAAACAGG